UACGUAGGGUGCGAGCGUUAAUCGGAAUUACUGGGCGUAAAGCGUGCGCAGGCGGUUCGUUAUGUCUGAUGUGAAAGCCCCGGGCUCAACCUGGGAAUGGCAAUGGAUACUGGCGAGCUAGAGUGUGUCAGAGGAUGGUGGAAUUCCCGGUGUAGCGGUGAAAUGCGCAGAUAUCAGGAAGAACACCCGUGGCGAAGGCGGCUCUCUGGGACGGUACUGACGCUGAGACGCGAAAGCGUGGGGAGCGAACAGG
rnacentral:rRNA from 1 species